UGAGGAAUAUUGGUCAAUGGGCGGAAGCCUGAACCAGCCAUGCCGCGUGCGGGAAGGAGGCCCUAUGGGCUGUGAACCGCUUUUGCCUGGGGGCAAUAAGGGCGUCGCGCACGUCCGAUGAGAGUACCAGGCGAAUAAGCAUCGGCUAACUCCGUGCCAGCAGCCGCGGUAAUACGGGGGAUGCGAGCGUUAUCCGGAUUCAUUGGGUUUAAAGGGUGCGUAGGCUGUGCGUCAAGUCGGGGGUGAAAUUCCGGUGCUCAACACCGGGGCUGCCCUUGAUACUGUCGCGCUGGAGUGCGGAUGCCGCCGGAGGAAUGAGUGGUGUAGCGGUGAAAUGCUUAGAUAUCACUCAGAACACCGAUUGCGAAGGCAUCUGGCGAAUCCGUAACUGACGCUGAGGCACGAAAGCGUGGGGAUAGAACAGG
rnacentral:rRNA from 1 species